rnacentral:rRNA from 1 species
GAUGAACGCUAGCGGCAGGCCUAAUACAUGCAAGUCGAACGAGAUUAAGAGGCUUGCUUCUUAUGAAAGUGGCGCACGGGUGCGUAACGCGUAUGCAACCUACCUUAAUCAGGGGGAUAGCCCGAAGAAAUUCGGAUUAAGACCGCAUAAAAACACAGGAUAGCAUUAUCCAAUGUUCAAAUAUUUAUAGGAUUAAGAUGGGCAUGCGUGUCAUUAGCUAGUUGGCGGGGUAACGGCCCACCAAGGCGACGAUGACUAGGGGAUCUGAGAGGAUGACCCCCCCCACUGGAACUGGGAAACGGACCAGACCCCUACGGGGGGCAGCAGUAAGGAAUAUGGGUAAAGGGAGGGAACUCUAAACCAGCCAGGCCGGGUGAAGGAAGACAGCCCCCGGGGUCGAAAACUGUUUUUAUUCGGGAAAAAACCUUUCCACGGGUAGGAAGCUGAAGGAACCGAAGGAAAAAGGAUCGGCUAACCCCGU